rnacentral:rRNA from 1 species
CAGUAGCCGCGGUAAAACGGAGGGUGCAAGCGUUAAUCGGAAUUACUGGGCGUAAAGCGCACGCAGGCGGUCUGUCAAGUCAGAUGUGAAAUCCCCGGGCUCAACCUGGGAACUGCAUUUGUGACUGUAUAGCUAGAGUACGGCAGAGGGGGAUGGAAUUCCGCGUGUAGCAGUGAAAUGCGUAGAUAUGCGGAGGAACACCGAUGGCGAAGGCAAUCCCCUGGGCCUGUACUGACGCUCAUGCACGAAAGCGUGGGGAGCAAACAGGAUUAGAUACCCCCGUAGUCCCUGUCUCUUAUAA